rnacentral:rRNA from 1 species
UGGGGAAUUUUGGACAAUGGGCGAAAGCCUGAUCCAGCAAUGCCGCGUGUGUGAAGAAGGCCUUCGGGUUGUAAAGCACUUUUGUCCGGAAAGAAAUCCUUGGCUCUAAUACAGUCGGGGGAUGACGGUACCGGAGGAAUAAGCACCGGCUAACUACGUGCCAGCAGCCGCGGUAAUACGUAGGGUGCAAGCGUUAAUCGGAAUUACUGGGCGUAAAGCGUGCGCAGGCGGUUUGCUAAGACCGAUGUGAAAUCCCCGGGCUCAACCUGGGAACUGCAUUGGUGACUGGCAGGCUAGAGUAUGGCAGAGGGGGGUAGAAUUCCACGUGUAGCAGUGAAAUGCGUAGAGAUGUGGAGGAAUACCGAUGGCGAAGGCAGCCCCCUGGGCCAAUACUGACGCUCAUGCACGAAAGCGUGGGGAGCAAGCAGGAUUAGAUACCCUGGUAGUCCACGCCCUAAAACGAUGUCAACUAGUUGUUGGGGAUUCAUUUCCUUAGUAACGUAGCUAACGCGUGAAGUUGACCGCCUGGGGAGUACGGUCGCAAGAUUAAAACUCAAAUGAAUUGACGGGGUCAUAGCUGUUUCCU